rnacentral:rRNA from 1 species
GACGGAGGGUGCAAGCGUUGCUCGGAAUUAUUGGGCGUAAAGGGUGCGUAGGCGGCUUUUUAAGUCUGACGUGAAAGCCCAGGGCUCAGCCUUGGAAGUGCGCUAGAAACUGGAAGGCUAGAGUGCCGGAGGGGAGAGUGGAAUUCCUGGUGUAGCGGUGAAAUGCGUAGAUAUCAGGAGGAAUACCGGUGGCGAAAGCGACUCUCUGGACGGUAACUGACGCUGAGGCACGAAAGCGUGGGGAGCAAACAGG